rnacentral:rRNA from 1 species
UACGUAGGGUGCGAGCGUUAAUCGGAAUUACUGGGCGUAAAGGGCACGCAGGCGGGCUUUUAAGUCAGAUGUGAAAUCCCCGGGCUUAACCUGGGAAUAGCAUUUGAGACUGGGAGUCUAGAGUACUUUAGAGAGGGGUAGAAUUCCACGUGUAGCGGUGAAAUGCGUAGAGAUGUGGAGGAAUACCGAAGGCGAAGGCAGCCCCUUGGGAAUGUACUGACGCUCAGGUGCGAAAGCGUGGGGAGCAAACAGG